rnacentral:lncRNA from 1 species
GGCUCAAUCGGGUACAAUUGGAAUCGGGUUUUUGAUCAAACCAGACCCGGGUACUACACGUAUCAUGGGGUACCUUGUAGGGCCGAGUAUGGUUAUAAUAUAAUGCAUUUGACCGUUGGUACUAGAGGUAUAGGUCGGGUCCGGUUUCUACCCGAAAAUUGGGUACAACCAAUCAUGUUUAAAAUAAAAGGGAUUUGACCGUUGGAACCAGUUCCUAAUGGUAAUAUAGCCGUUUGGAACCAGUUAUUUACCAUUUUAGCCCUCCUAAUUUACAAUUUAGUAUAAAUAGGUGUUGAAUGUUUAUGUUUGAUUACACCACUUUUCUAAUUCUCAAACGCUCUCUAAAAUGAAAAACGGCUUAACCCUCUCAACCUUUUUUUCUAUCACCACCAACGAUGGCAAACAAUGAAGAAGUUAUUUUGGCACUUGAAAUAUUAACAAUCUUACAAUUUGAAGUGUCAGCAGACAGCAGUCGUAGGAAGUUUAGAUAAAGAUAAAUAUUGACACUUUGAUCGCUUAGACAUAUCCUGAUAUAUUCGACAACAAAAGUUAAAAAUCAAAAUAAAUUCAUAAAGGGCCUUGAACAAUUAUCUGAUGAAAAUCGUACACAUUCAUCAUUAGUAAUCAAUAAACAAAGAAACAAUUGCAAUUUGAUUAUAAGUAUCAUGAAAUAGUAAAAUGUCAUGAAUAAAUCGGAUAAGAAAAUGUUUAUGUUGACAUACUCAAAGUAACUGUUUUACUCGUCUAAUAGUAAAUGACACAUUGACCGGUACUUAUAAUGUUUUAUACAUGGUUAUAAUUAUUUAUACAUGAUUAUAAUGUUUUAUACAUCUACGCUUAGGGGGCACUCCACUAGUGAUGAAAUUCCGUCACUCACAACAUCCAAUCAAGUUCCGCCACAUCAUCGAGCUUCGUUCCGUCACUAGUGAUGGAUUUUAGUGGAAAUGCCCAUCACUAGUGAUGGUUUCUUUUUAUUUUAAAAUAUAAAUUAACAAUAAAACAAGGGUAAAUUACACUUUCGUCCUUUAUGUUUGUAUCGGAUUGCAACGGAUAGCCUUUAACUUCAAUAAUUACAGUCACAAUCCUUUAUUUGGAAAACGCAUUACACCUUUCGUCCUUUAACACUAAACCAAUUAAAAUUUUCAGUACACUCUAGUCAUGUGCAUUGCACAUGAGGGCAAUUCAGUUAACUCUAGUCAUGUGCAUAUCCAUCUAUUUAUUAGUUAAGACUAAGAUUAAAUGAGUGA